rnacentral:rRNA from 1 species
UGGGGAAUAUUGCACAAUGGGCGAAAGCCUGAUGCAGCAACGCCGCGUGAGUGAUGAAGGCCUUCGGGUUGUAAAGCUCUGUCUUCUGGGACGAUAAUGACGGUACCAGAGGAGGAAGCCACGGCUAACUACGUGCCAACAGCCGCGGUAAUACGUAGGUGGCAAGCGUUGUCCGGAUUUACUGGGCGUAAAGGAUGCGUAGGCGGAUACUUAAGUCAGAUGUGAAAAUCCCGGGCUUAACUUGGGAACUGCAUUUGAAACUGGGUAUCUAGAGUGCGGGAGAGGAAAGUGGAAUUCCUAGUGUGGCGGUGAAAUGCGUAGAGAUUAGGAAGAACACCAGUGGCGAAGGCGACUUUCUGGACCGUAACUGACGCUGAGGCAUGAAAGCGUGGGGAGCAAACA